GUUCAGUUUUCUUUAAUGCCCAGCACCUGAGAUGACAUGACAGCAGGCUCUGGAUGCUACGAGAUUCAAGUCAAGAUUUUGAGAGUGAGGAACUGGCUUCCAAUGUUAGAUUGCAAAAUCCACUCCACUAGCACCUGCCAGAGCUGCUCCAGGAGCAUGUUCUCUGCUGUACCUCUUCCAAGAUGGCUCAGAGAUCUCAGAUUUCACAUAUUUCAGAUUCAGUAGAAAGGAGCUCAAACUCCAUCUCCUAAUCUGCAUGCCAUCAGUACAGGGUGUGGAAUCUGGGGGUUCCUGCAGCACAGUGAUGCUACAACUUCCUUGAUCCAUCCUGGUGUCCUGUGUGCUUACAGAUGUAUCUAUAGAACCCUGUAGAGUCACAGGCUGCAGGUAGCAGGGUGCUGAAAUUGUCUCUCAUAAAGAAAUGGAUUACCAGCGUCUGCAGACGUGCUGAACCAGCGACUGCUCGGGUCCUGCAGUCUGAGGAAGGAGCUUCCACCUAGUCUGGCCACAGGGGAGCAUCAAACCUGCCUCCAGAAUGGGAAUGUGCAACCAGCUGCCCUGCUGUACCCAAGCAAAUGAAUGAAAAGGGCACGAGUGAGCAUGCUGCAUUUUCUCCCUGGUCUGGAAGCACUGUCAUCACAGAGGUCUCCCCUCCAGUGCUUUCAGAUUGUUUGGUCCUGACAGGAUUCGGUCUGGAGCUGUCACCAGUUUGUUCAGCAGAGUCCAUUAGGGCAGAUAUCUUCAGCUCUGCUACAUGGAUCUUAUUUUCCAGCUGUCAUCUUGUAUGAAAAUGAAAUUUCUGUGGUAACCAGAUCAGUCAGAAUUGAUAAAUUCUUCCCACUUCAUGAGAAAACCUGUAUGUAUUUAAAACAGUGGAAAAACCUUUCCAUAGGGAAGGUGUGUGGAAGCAGAGCCCUGCAUCACCUCCUCCAUGUCUCCUGAGAAGGGGACCCACGUCUCCAUGGGUUCUGUGAAAUUUGCAUCAAGACUUAAUUAUAAUAAAUAAUAAAUACAAAG
rnacentral:lncRNA from 1 species